rnacentral:sRNA from 14 species
UUCACAAAACUGGCAAGUUAAGUCCUGUAUUUCCUCACAGAGGAUGUAGGGCAUAAGCAAGUGUCUGCUCCACAGUAUUGAUGAGUAUCAGCUCUGACCUGAAGGGACCCAGCCAGCAGGGGUAAGGAGGUAGUUUUCUCUUCAUUAAUGCCUUAGAUGUC